rnacentral:rRNA from 1 species
AUUGAACGCUGGCGGCAGGCCUAACACAUGCAAGUCGAGCGGAUGAAGGGAGCUUGCUCCUGGAUUCAGCGGCGGACGGGUGAGUAAUGCCUAGGAAUCUGCCUGGUAGUGGGGGAUAACGUCCGGAAACGGGCGCUAAUACCGCAUACGUCCUGAGGGAGAAAGUGGGGGAUCUUCGGACCUCACGCUAUCAGAUGAGCCUAGGUCGGAUUAGCUAGUUGGUGGGGUAAAGGCCUACCAAGGCGACGAUCCGUAACUGGUCUGAGAGGAUGAUCAGUCACACUGGAACUGAGACACGGUCCAGACUCCUACGGGAGGCAGCAGUGGGGAAUAUUGGACAAUGGGCGAAAGCAUGAUCCAGCCAUGCCGCGUGUGUGAAGAAGGUCUUCGGAUUGUAAAGCACUUUAAGUUGGGAGGAAGGGCAGUAAGUUAAUACCUUGCUGUUUUGACGUUACCAACGGAAUAAGCACCGGCUAACUUCGUG